rnacentral:rRNA from 1 species
UACGUAGGGGGCAAGCGUUGUCCGGAAUCAUUGGGCGUAAAGAGCGCGCAGGCGGCCCGGCAAGUCGGGUGUGAAAUCCCGGGGCUCAACCCCGGGACUGCAUUCGAUACUGUCGGGCUAGAGGUAGGUAGGGGAGAUCGGAAUUCCUGGUGUAGCGGUGAAAUGCGCAGAUAUCAGGAGGAACACCGGUGGCGAAGGCGGAUCUCUGGGCCUUACCUGACGCUCAGGCGCGAAAGCUAGGGGAGCGAACAGG